CAGUCGCCGCGGUAAUACGUAGGUGGCAAGCGUUGUCCGGAAUUAUUGGGCAUAAAGGGCUCGCAGGCGGUUUCUUAAGUCUGAUGUGAAAGCCCCCGGCUCAACCGGGGAGGGUCAUUGGAAACUGGGAAACUUGAGUGCAGAAGAGGAGAGUGGAAUUCCACGUGUAGCGGUGAAAUGCGUAGAGAUGUGGAGGAACACCAGUGGCGAAGGCGGCUCUCUGGUCUGUCACUGACGCUGAGGCUCGAGAGCGUGGGUAGCGAACAGGAUUAGAUACCCCCGUAGUCCCUGUCUCUUAUAU
rnacentral:rRNA from 1 species